rnacentral:misc_RNA from 1 species
UCCCCGUUGCCGAGGCAGUCUGAAUAGAAAAAUCCAACUAUUCAUAAGGGUUGCGCUCGUUGAUGGACUUAACCAAACAUCUCACGACACGAGCUGACGACGGCCAUGCAACACCUGUCACUGCUUGCCCCAUACUCAUUUUGAUAGAAUUCCGCGACUUUCAUCUCGGUAUCAAAACGACUAUGGGGCACAUUUUCCUUUCGGAAAACUUGGCAGGAUGUCAAGCCUGGGUAAGGUUCUUCGCUUAUCAUCGAAUUAAACAACACGCUCCACCGCUUGUGCAGGUCCCCGUCAAUUCCUUUGAGUUUUAAUCUUGCGACCGUACUCCUCAGGCGGGAUGCUUAACGCGUUAACUUCGCUACUGACCGGGUCGAUACGGCCAACAGCUAGCAUCCAUAGU